ACUGGGCAUAUUUAUUUAGAUACAGGAAAUGGAAAAAGCAAACAACGCUGUCCUUUGCAAUGGAACUCUAUCCGUCCUGCAGCGCUGCAACGUCAGCCUUCUCAGAACUAUUCUUCCACGAAGCCGAAAGGCCCAUGCGAGUCCCUCAUUUUCCCCUCCGCCGCUGCCGUCCCAGCUGACUCGCAGCCCCGCCGAGCUCCCGCCGAAGGUGCCACGGUGGCCCUGCACCCCGUCCCCGUGAGCCCCGGCACCGGCCGCUCUCCGCGGCACCGACCCCUCAGCACCUGCACGGAGCCUCCCGGCCCUGCAGCCAGACCCCGCCGCAGCUGCUUUUCUCGUGUCUCGACCCUCUUCAAGGCCAGCAGUGCUUCCAUGACACCGGCUGGGCAACUUUUCCCCUCACACCUUCCCGCCCUUUCCUAGACGAGAUUUUUCACGGGGAAAGCGCUGCUGGGCCGGCGGGGCAGGAUAACCGGGGCCGGGGCGCCCAGAUACAAGCCGGCCCAGGCUGCGGGCCGCGCUCCCGCCCGCGGAGGGGCUCCUGGGGAGGAAAAGCAGGCCCAGCUGGUUCCUCCCGGCCAACUUUUCUUCCCGGGGAGCCCCGCCAGCCCUCCCGCCCACGGCACGUGCUGAUGGACGGGCGGGGGCGGCGGGCGCGCUCCCGCCUCCCCGCGGGCCCCCGCCGCGCGCGCGCCCGGCUGCAGUGAUUGGAAUCCGGCUCGUUCCCGCCCCGCCCCGCAGGGACGCGCCGGGAGCGCCUGCCGGGACACGGAGCCUGCGCCGAGCCCGCUCCGCGCCGUCCCGCCCUCCCCCGCCCGACACGCACCCGCCUUCGCCCCCGUCUCAGCGGAGCCGUCGGGGCCCCGGGAACGGCCCGCGGAGCGCGGCGGGGAGCGGGCCCCCUCCCCCUUCGCCUGCCGUCCCCGCGCGGAGGAUGAGGAGCCCCCACCGCCGAUCAGUAGAAAUAUGCAUUUCCAUAAUACCACAUUUGAACUAAUGAAGUGGAAGUACAGAUGAAAACAGUUUGGAGGAAGCUUGAAGUACAAUACAGUUUCAUUCAGCUUCCUAAUUCGGAGGAAACAAAGGUGGAAAAGCCACAGAAGCAUCCUUGCAGUCAAGCACCGAAUCCUGUAUUAGGCUUCACUGAACGGACUGAGCUCAGCAUUUGUCAAGCAGAAGGGCUGGUCGCCCUGCACAGGAAGGAUUAAAAGUGAACAAUGACUCGAUUGAGAGUUCAUGAGCAAUUGCUUGGAGCCUAUCUGCUUAUCAUUCUCCAUGUUCAAGGUCAAAAGCCAGACAGCAUGCUUCAUGGUACAGGAAUGAAGACAAAUUCUGACCAAAAGAAACAAGCAAAUGGAGUAACACUUGCGCCAGAGGACACCUUACCUUUUCUUAAAUGCUACUGCUCAGGACAUUGUCCAGAUGAUGCUAUUAACAACACAUGCAUAACUAAUGGACAUUGCUUUGCUAUCAUUGAGGAGGAUGAACAUGGAGAACCCACGCUUGCUUCUGGCUGCAUGAAGUAUGAAGGUUCAGACUUCCAGUGCAAGGACUCGCCUAAAGCACAGUUGCGCCGAACGAUUGAGUGCUGUCGCACUGAUUUCUGCAAUCAGGAUUUGCAACCAACACUACCACCUCUUGACAGUACAGAUGGACUUUUUGAUGGCAGCAUUCGUUGGAUGGCAGUGUUGAUUUCUAUGGCAGUCUGCAUAAUUGUCAUGGUCAUCUUACUUAGCUGCUUUUGUUACAAGCAUUACUGUAAGUCGAUGGCAAAGAGGCACUGUUAUAAUCGUGACCUGGAACAAGAUGAAGCAUUUAUUCCAGCUGGGGAGUCAUUAAAAGACCUUAUUGACCAGUCACAGAGUUCUGGGAGUGGAUCAGGGCUACCAUUGUUGGUUCAGCGCACUAUUGCCAAACAAAUUCAGAUGGUGAGGCAAGUUGGAAAAGGACGAUAUGGUGAAGUGUGGAUGGGCAAAUGGAGGGGUGAAAAAGUGGCAGUCAAAGUGUUUUUCACCACAGAAGAAGCCAGCUGGUUCAGAGAAACAGAGAUUUACCAAACUGUUCUCAUGCGACAUGAAAACAUCCUCGGUUUCAUAGCAGCAGAUAUUAAAGGCACUGGCUCCUGGACACAGCUUUACUUGAUCACGGAUUAUCAUGAAAACGGAUCAUUGUAUGAUUUUCUGAAGUGCACUACUCUGGACAACAGGGCUCUGCUCAAACUGGCCUAUUCUGCUGCAUGUGGCCUGUGCCACCUGCACACAGAAAUCUAUGGGACACAAGGCAAGCCUGCAAUUGCACACAGGGACCUGAAGAGUAAAAACAUCUUGAUAAAGAAAAAUGGAACCUGCUGCAUUGCAGACUUGGGUCUUGCAGUCAAGUUUAACAGUGACACAAAUGAAGUUGACGUUCCCUUGAACACCAGAGUGGGAACAAAACGUUACAUGGCUCCAGAAGUCCUGGAUGAAAGCCUGAAUAAAAAUCAUUUCCAGCCAUACAUCAUGGCUGACAUCUACAGUUUUGGGCUGAUCAUCUGGGAAAUGGCUCGGCGCUGUGUCACAGGAGGUAUUGUUGAAGAAUACCAGUUGCCAUAUUAUGACAUGGUGCCAAAUGAUCCAUCCUAUGAGGACAUGAGGGAAGUGGUGUGUGUCAAACGCCUGCGCCCAGUGGUGUCGAACAGAUGGAACAGUGAUGAAUGUUUAAGAGCAAUAUUGAAGUUGAUGUCUGAGUGCUGGGCUCAUAAUCCUGCCUCAAGGCUCACUGCCUUGAGGAUCAAGAAGACACUUGCCAAGAUGGUGGAAUCACAAGAUGUAAAGAUUUGACAUAGGAAAUUGACUUUGGAGAGCAAAGCUGGACUCCCUAGAUCUUUUCACUCAAACGUGGGUGAGGAAGAUAAAAAUAGAGAAGAGGAAAUAACUGAGAUUCAGUAUAUUUUCUCAGCACACUUCUACAGGCUGCUAAUGAAAUCUUUCAGUACUUCAUGGACCAUGAUACUGUAUAGAGAGCCUCUAUACACUACGUGCUACAUAUAUGGACAGCCUUGAGAAAAUACACGUUUUGUUUUGGUUUGAGCUGCAUUGAGACUUCAAUCAUACUUAGUGAGUCUCCAGUAAAACUCUGGGUACUGAAUUGAAUGUUCAGAUUACAGUGCUUUCUGUGAAAGCCUAACAAGCUAUAUGGAUUCAACAGAGAUGGAGAAUAUAAGCUUUUUUGGGUUUUUUUGUCUUCUACCUGAUAAAACCUAGUCAAUCCAUACCAAGUUUUGGUGAAACAGCCUGUAGGUUAUUAAUCUGUUUGUGAUACUACUCAGUUAAACUGUUCUUUAUGCCUUUAUGUGUGUGCCAGGAUUAUUUUGCUGUCAUUUGGAAUAUAUAAGAAACCAUUUAAAUGAACAAAGUUUUAUGGUCAGGGCUCCAUGCAUUUUGUGGCUCCAUAAUCAGAGAUUUGCUACUGAAUCUUUUGCCAUUAAGUUAUCUUCAGAAAUCUCAGUUUUAAUUUCUUUGUCUUUUAUUUGGUCACAAGGAGAACUGCAAAAAUGUGAACCAUUAAUUAAUUAAGAAAUGCCUACCUAAAUCUGUAAGGAGCUUGAAACAAUCUCUUCUAGAGAUGUAGGCUGCUUUGGUCAUCUCACUUGCAGUCUAGAGAGAGCUUCAUAAUUGGAUCCCUGAAAUUUGUCAUAUUUUUUUCACAGUGCCACAUGCAACCAGCAUUUUUGCCAUAGAAUACUUUACAUCUUAGCAGAAAGACUGAUGGUGAUGUGUGUUGCCUUCCUGCUGUAUUGGGACUCUGAUAGGUGUCUGUCAGGCUUUGAAUUUCUUCCCACAAAGGAAGGGAUUUGUCAGCUGUACCAUGUGCUCUUUCAUCAUUUGACAAAACUAGGCAGAAGGUGAGUUUUGAAAGGCUUGAGAACAAGUCUGGUGUACAGACACAAAAGAAGGAAGGCAGGAAGCCCUGGGUGCUCUGAAGAUCAGAGAAUGCAGUAAAGGGUCAAGACCAGGAGAAGUGAGUGAGAACUGUUGAAGAUCAGAUCCACAGCGUGCAGAAGAUUUGGAGCUGGGUUGCUCUGAUGUAGACACAGGAGGCCACAUCUGUGAGCCACUUAGUGGAAGUGAAGAUUUGAGACAAGGUAAAUCAGUGGGUGUUUUAAGUUCUAGUUAAGUUUGGGAGGAAUGGCAUUGAAAUUAAGUCAUGAAGAUACAGUAAGUUAGCACAAUUGCAAAACUUGGUUUUAUUGUGCCAACUGUUGGACCUGCACGAGAAACUGAAGGUCCCCCAUUUUCACCACUGACCCACACAAGGUGUAUAGAAGCCAGAACCCUCCAUGAGGUUACUGUAAAGUAGAACUAUUGAUUUAUAACUCCUUUGGCACUUCUUCUUGGAAGUUAGAAAAUAGUACCAUAACUCAAGUUGAAGCUUCAAAGCAUGAAUCAUCUGAAGAUUGAACACACAGUAUUGGAACCAUUGAAUCUAUUUGAUAAUUUUAAGUGCCUAUAAUUUUGUACUGUAAAUCUUGUUCUAGAUAACUUUAAAAAGGGAAGUUAUUUAUACAGUGUGUUUUGUGCUUUAGUAAAACAAAAUACAAUAAAUACCUAGUCCUAAGUACAUCUGUACAAUUAGAUAUAUGCACACACACAUGCCAUAGUUGAGAUCUGAAGAAAAAAGUUAAGAAUAAUACCAGAACUGAUGAAAUUGUUAAAACUUCAGAUUGAUUUAUGCCAGAUUAUUUGUUGUCUUAAAAUAUUUACAUAGAGAUUGUUUUGAUGUGUUUAAAUUUCCCUUGAAAAUACAACUGAUACAAAGCAAUGUAACACAGAAGUAAUGUGAUUUGUGAACAAUUACAACAUUUUAGCAUGUUACCUUUUUGUUUUAAUCCUGUAGAUCCCAUAAUGUAAAUGGUCAGGCAAAAGAUUGCAGUAUUUUUAUUUUCUAUUGUGAUGUACAGACUUUAUUUAACAGUUCUACAUAUUUUAUAGAAAACUAGCUAUUUCAAGGGACUUUUUUUUUUUUUUUUAAUAAAGUCAUUACUUUUGUUUAGUAAUGCCUUUAAGUAUUAAUAUGUAUUCUGGCUGAGAAGUUCAUAGGUAUGUCAACUUUAACUUAUUUGAAAACAGCAAGAGAAUUACGAUAUUGUGCCACAAUCCUCAUGAUAAAGGGCUUUUAAAAAAAAGUUUCUCCGUCCAUUGCCAAGAAAUUUAUGAUGAUUUUGAAAUUGUUAAUCAUGUCUUCGCACAUAAUUUUUGCACAGGUAGUUGGAAAAUUUUUGGUAUAAGCCAAAAAAAGUAAGGGAUAAGCUUUUUUUUUCCUUCUCUAGAAUUUUUAUCAAUAAGAAGGAAAAAAUGUUUAUGUAGGUACCCUGCUAGCUUAAACUUUCAGAGCAUGGAGAUCUGUCUAAAUUAACCCCAUCCUAUGUAGAAUAUUUUGUCAUUUCUUCUAGAAUUUGCCACAUCAUCAUUAACUGUAAACAUGUUUUGUGAAUUUUUUUUUUUUAGUUCAUUUUUCCCAGCUCUCCAGGAAGCCCCUUCUGGAAGUAUGAAUUUCAAUAAUAUGUAAAUUUUCGCUUAUUUUCUUUUCCAUUGUUUGGGUAUUUGCAAGGCAGCAAUAGCAUGGUUAGACACCUUAGGACCUAAAUUGAUUUUCAAGUUGCUUUAACAUAGAGAGAGCCAACUGCUGCAAAGAUGGUUUUUUGAGAGGGGAAAAAAAAUCUUUUUUGCCUUUAACCUAAUUUAUCAGCACUUCAUUUACUCUGUUCAUACUCAAGUCUAUCAUGCAUGUGUAGUUUUUGCUGUGCUGAACAGCAGCUUCCUUGAUUCUGAUACUCAACAAAACAUUAACACUAAAGGAUGUCUAUAUUGAUACUUAAUCAUUUGGGUGGAAAAAUGUGCUUGAAGCCAGCCCAUUAAUUUUUACUUAACUAAGCAUAAUUAAGACUCCAAAGGUAAGUUGUUACUUUAUGCAAUCCUGUAGUGUUCAGAAGCCUUUAAGGUCAGAGAGGGUAAUACGGUUCUUCUGUUGGACUGUGAUUAAUCUCAUUUUUGGUGGUCAAAAUUUUAAGCAUUUGUCAUUCAAAAAAAUAUCCUCCAAAACUGGCAAAUGUGGGUUUUUUUGUUUUUUUUUUUUUUUUUUUAAUACAAAAAUCAACUGUGUGGAAAAUACCUUGGGGAGUAUCAAGACUGUGCCUUGGAAGUUUUUAAAUACUCAUAUGGAGGGAUUUUUAUGUUUAUUGAACCUGUUCCAUGUGAUUUUAGAUGGAAAUAAUUGCAGUCACUUCAUUCUUAUUAUUACAGCAACUAAAAGCAAAGUUUUUGUGUUCCUGGUUAACUUGCAAAUUCCACCAGGAAUGUGGUAUUCCUCUAGAGAAAAUUAGGCGUACAUUCUGAGUUUAUUCUGAAUUUUACUUAAUGUAAUUUUUCCUAAAGAAACAGUUUUCCCAAUAUCCAUCACUUUUUCUGAAUUAUUUUCUUAAUUAGCCUUCUUUGGGGUCUUGAAUGAAAUGUAAAAUUAAUAUUUUAAGUUACCUCCAUGGUAGUAUAGAAUCAAAUUUUAGAUCUUGAUCUAAAUGACCAUUUGAAUGUGUUUAUAAAACAAAUCAUUUGGAUACAUUUCAUCUACUCUGUCUUAACAGACUGUAUUUUAAUGGUCUAAAAGUGUUUGAAGAGCAGAGAUAUAAAGUUAAUAAACAUUCUUUUGCUAUUGCAGAUAUUUUUAAAGGGAAGUUACAUGCCUGUCUUCUGUGAAAUAUUAGAAUGAUUUAGCCUUUGUUCACUCUCCUGACAGUGCCUCUGAGUUAAGUCUUUAUCCUGUGCCCACCGACUUUAUUCCAAGUAGGGGUGAUGUCUAAAAGCAGCUGGCAGUGUUGCACAGUACAGUACUUAUGAAACCAUGGUGCUCAGCCUUGGUUGAACAGCAGAAGUAGAGGGCACAUUACUUCUGUUUUUUUCGACAAAUAUAAUGUAAUUGUUGCUUUGUGAUAUUUUCCUGUUUAAUGCAAUUCUAGAAGCCCACAUCAUGUAGUGAUAUUUGUGCUCUGACAUGACAUGCCCAAAAUGAAAUGUACUAUAUUGUAUACAAGAAGAAUAAAUAACAUUGUAGUUAACCUAGAGAAGAUGUAAAUAAAAUAUGAAAGAAGAGUGGAACAAGACAAAUGGUCACACUCUUGUGUGUGUUAUAUGCCAGAAGUGUAGAAUACUACUUUAAAAAUGUAACACACUAAUGUAUUUUGUACAGCAUCUGCUUUAGAAGGUGCCUUAUUGAGUUUACCAUGAAUUGCUUGUUCUGUACACAGAUUAUGUCCAAUGUAUCAUUUUUAAGUAAAUAACCUUAUUUUAGUACACAUUAGUAAUGUGUUUUGUUACUAUAAGAUUUUGCCUUAAAGAUGUAAUAACUUGGAAAUCCUAAUACUGUAACUAAAUAAUUCCCUACUUUUUCAUACCUCGUUGAUGGCUUUUUUCCCCCACAGUAAGUUGUUAAUUACUGCUUUUAUUGUUCAAUGAUAUUGAAAAUUAUUUGGUGCUCUCUAAGUUCAAGCUCUUUAUUCCUUGCACAAUAUUUAAAUUUGGGUGCAACAGUGAAAAACAGUGUUUUCUUCUCCUGAUUUUUAUCCCUGUGUUACGGCAAAGCCAAAGGCAAAUCAAAAUCAAAUAAUACUUUUGUUUGAACAUAUACAAGUUCCCUACAUGUUGGUUUUAUCCGUAUAAAUUUGCCUCAAGCUUACCAGGUAAAAACAGAAAAAAUAAAAGGAUGGGGAAUUUUGUAAUUGCUUUUUGUUCCCUCCGUGUACAACAUUCUUUUUGUGUAAUAGUAUCCAAAUUAAGAUAUUUGAGUAUAAUAUGUGUAUAUACUGCUUGUUGCAAAAAUAUGCAGGUGCUUCUGUAUAUCCUGCUAAAUUUACUCUGGUUUUUGUGAUUCAAGCAAAUGAAGACCAGUCAAGGGGAUGUCUCACCUGUGAGUACUAUGAAGAGAGUGUCAGAAUUUGUUUUCUCAUUGCAGAAAUGUAUUGGCUUCUACUCUCACAGAGUCCACCUUUAGUUUACAAGGAGAAAGAAGUAAGAUCAGUUUCUGUUCUCUUUUUGCAUUUAAUCAGGAAUAAUCUUAGAUUUAAAUACAUAUUUUUUACAGUAGCUAGAAAGUAGCUGAACACCAUAAAAACUGCUACCAAUAUAAUUAUAAGCCUUGUUUUGUUUCCCCUAUACAAUCAAGUGUUAAAUUCUUGCAGUAUAGUUCUGGAAAGUGCAGUGGAAAGAUCAGCAAUAUAGUUUCAAACCUUUCUGUCCUUAACACAUAAUACUAGGAAAUUAGACUGCACAAAGAUUUGGUCUUCUUAAAUUAAAUGGAU